UUAGCUACUUAUUGCUUAUUAUUACUUAUUAGUAAUAUUAUUAUAAUUAUAUUAUUUAUCAUCACCAUCAUCACCACCACCCGCUACCUCAACGCGGUCUCGGGAUCUGAGCCCGCGGCGACUUCUGGCUUUCAGGCACCUAGCAGUUCCCCACCCCCCUCCGCACACCAAUCAGGUUAACGCUUUAGAUAUCCGCGGUAGGAACAACCCAUCGCUGUUGCAUCGUAUCAUUUCACCCCGAUCUCACCGUCCGCUUGAAGCCGCUUCCCUUCCUGUUGGCGCGAAACACCCCUGGCAACGACUCCAGGCUGUCCCGCGAGGAAUGCAGGUCGGUGCGUGAGAUCCUGCAGGGAGUCGUGGGGUGGGGUGGGGUGUUGCCAUGAUGAGGUGCCAUGAUGAGGUGCAUUGGAACACGAAACACGAAACCUUCUCUGACCGCGAGAGUGGGGACAUGAGCGGUGUGAGCAGUGCUUCGGGGGAAGUGGAGACAACGGGCCUCAUGAAGGCGGGUGCAUUUGCGGGCGUGCGCGAAGAAGCUGGGAAGAGGGUAACAAAUGGCGAUGCAGCAUAAAGGAUAAUAAUGAAAAGGGGCGCUUGGCUAGCCCCGCUGGUCCUUUUCAGCUUGCAGAUUUGCCUAAGGGCGCUGCCCUGCCUCCUUCUUCCCACCCUUUCUCCCAGGGGCGACCCACAUCACGUGGCUUAGGCCAUUACUUCCCCGUCGCGGCCUUAACUGCCUCCUUCCUGUCCUCCCUUUCUCAACCGCUUGCCUUUUCCUACUCCUCCUCCCCUUUUCAGUCCAGCAUAACUACAAUCAUUAUAGCAGUUUAAAGGCUGCAGACAACCACACUUAAUUUUUUUUCUUGCAUCGUCACAAGAAUCCCUCCGCCUCCCACUUUCUAUCCGCCAACCUGCGUGAGGGGCUGCCCAGGUCGGAGCCCUGGUCGGAGGCAGUGGGCGUGAAAGCGGUCCGGGGCUCGGGGCUCUGACGUCCGGUGUUUGAUACGCUUUGCCGGGGCUGUCGGGCCGUGGGGGAGGCCACGUCGC
rnacentral:lncRNA from 1 species